CCCGGGUCUUGUACACACCGCCCGUCACACCAUGGGAGCGGGUUCUGCCAGAAGUAGGUAGCCUAACCGUAAGGAGGGCGCUUACCACGGCAGGGGUUCGUGACUGGGGGUGAAGUCGUAACAAAGGUACC
rnacentral:rRNA from 1 species